rnacentral:rRNA from 1 species
AGAGACAGCAGUAGCCACGGUAAUACGGAGGAUCCAAGCGUUAUCCGGAAUCAUUGGGUUUAAAGGGUCCGUAGGCGGUCUUGUAAGUCAGUGGUGAAAGCCCAUCGCUCAACGGUGGAACGGCCAUUGAUACUGCAGGACUUGAAUUAUUGGGAAGUAACUAGAAUAUGUAGUGUAGCGGUGAAAUGCUUAGAGAUUACAUGGAAUACCAAUUGCGAAGGCAGGUUACUACCAAUUGAUUGACGCUGAUGGACGAAAGCGUGGGUAGCGAACAGGAUUAGAGACCCCAGUAGUCCCUGUCUCUUAUAC